rnacentral:rRNA from 1 species
AGUAGCCGCGGGAAUACAGAGGGUGCGAGCGUUAAUCGGAUUUACUGGGCGUAAAGCGUGCGUAGGCGGCUUCUUAAGUCGGAUGUGAAAUCCCUGAGCUUAACUUAGGAAUUGCAUUCGAUACUGGGAAGCUAGAGUAUGGGAGAGGAUGGUAGAAUUCCAGGUGUAGCGGUGAAAUGCGUAGAGAUCUGGAGGAAUACCGAUGGCGAAGGCAGCCAUCUGGCCUAAUACUGACGCUGAGGUACGAAAGCAUGGGGAGCAAACAGGAUUAGAUACCCCUGUAGUCCCUGUCUCUUAUACA